rnacentral:lncRNA from 1 species
CUUAUCGUCAACGGGUAAGUGUUGAGGCUCACAUGUCAGUCUAUCAGGAAAGGUUUAAAGCAUCAACCAGGUCCGGGUCUCUGUCCAAUAGGUGACUUGCAGGUCGGUUUUAAAGCUGUUGAGAUUCCCAAGCUCUGGAGGUAUUCUUUCUGUAAAAUAAUUAUCCGACAAGGAAAGCUGGUGAAAAUUUGUCAGGUUGGGGGAUAUGACCCUUGUAACUGUUCCCCCUUCCUGAAAAGAACUGAAGCCAACCCAUCCUUUGCAUACUACUCGGUAAUGAGUCUGUGAAUAAGUUACUUCCUUAAGGUGAACCAAGUUGCCUAUGCUCC